rnacentral:rRNA from 1 species
CAAUAGCGUAUAUUAAAGUUGUUGCAGUUAAAAAGCCCGUAGUUGGAUUUCUGGUAGGAGUGACCGUUCCGAACUUGAUUGUUCGUGUAUUGUGUUUUCUCCAGCCAUCCUUGUGGAGAACUUUUCUUGCAUUAAUUUGUAGGGAUUGGGACCCGCAUCGUUUACUGUGAAAAAAUUAGAGUGUUUAAAGCAGGCAAUCGCUUGAAUACAUUAGCAUGGAAUAAUAAGAUGGGACUUUGGUACUAUUUUGUUGGUUUGCAUACCAAAUUAAUGAUCAACAGGAACAGUUUGAGGAUAUUCGUAUGAACAUGUCAGAGGUGAAAUUCUUGGAUUUUGAUCAGACGAACUACUGCGAAAGCAUUUAUCAAGGAUGUUUUCAUUAA